CGGUCUCAACAAAAUGCAUCACU
rnacentral:siRNA from 1 species